rnacentral:lncRNA from 1 species
AGAAGAAAAAAAGUGAAAGAAAAGAAGUAGAGGGAGAUCCUGUUCAUGUAAUAUCUUUGUUGAAAUUUUAGCUUGAAAUGGGGAUUUCGUUCUUUCUCGAAUUUUUAAUAUUCUCCAAUGAAUCUUGGCGGUUACCUCUUGGAAUGGAUUUGUGGGGAAGAAUUUAGGUUUCGUGUCAAAUUAGGACUAUUGGACCUGGAACUAUUGGGAUUUGAAUUAACCUCGUUUCGUCUCACCAUCGUGUCUUUCAUGAAUCAACAAUCCAUUUUUCCAUGAUUUUUUAAAUGGAAAAAAGAUCUGAAAAAUCAAGAAAAAACAAAGGAUUGGGACGAAGGAGGAGGAUAAUUACUAGUAUGUAUCUCUAUGUUUGUAUGAUCUGUGUAAUUUUGGGGUUAAUUAUGAGCAAGGGUUGUAAUAUGAUGGGAAAUAUAAUGUUAAUGGUUUCUGCUAUGUUGUUUUAAAAAAUAAUAAUUAGGAAAAAUUGUGCACAUCUCCUUUGUAUCAUCUUCUUCUUUCA